rnacentral:rRNA from 1 species
AGAGCGAACGCUGGCGGCAGGCCUAACACAUGCAAGUCGAGCGCCCGUAGCAAUACGGGAGCGGCAGACGGGAUAGUAACACGUGGGAACGCGCCCUUCGGUUCGGAAUAACUCAGGGAAACUUGAGCUAAUACCGAAUACGCCCUUACGGGGAAAGAUUUAUUGCCGAAGGAACGGCCCGCGUCCGAUUAGCUAGUUGGUGAGGUAAUGGCUCACCAAGGCUACGAUCGGUAGCUGGUCUGAGAGGAUGACCAGCAUCACUGGGACUGAGACACGGCCCAGACUCCUACGGGAGGCAGCAGUGGGGAAUAUUGGACAAUGGGCGCAAGCCUGAUCCAGCCAUGCCGCGUGGAUGAUGAAGGCCUUAGGGUGUAAAGUCCUUUUAACGGGAAGAUAAUGACGGUACCCGUAGAAUAAGCCCCGGCUAACUUCGUGCCAGCAGCCGC